rnacentral:tRNA from 1 species
GAAGGUAGAGCUCCGUGGUAGAGCACGUGCUUAGCAUGCACGAGGUCCUGGGUUCAAUCCCCAGUACCUCCA